AGAAGAUGAGCCUUAAGUCUGAACACUGAGGAAUUCAUGUGCAUCAGUCAGACCUCCUGUGCAAGAAAGGAUGUGGUUACUACGGCAACCCUGCCUGGCAGGGUUUCUGCUCCAAGUGCUGGAGGGAAGAGUACCACAAAGCCAGGCAGAAGGAGAUUCAGGAGGACUGGGAGCUGGCGGAGCGACUCCAGCGGGAGGAAGAGGCCUUUGCCAGCAGUCAGAGCAGCCAAGGGGCCCAAUCCCUCACAUUCUCCAAGUUUGAAGAAAAGAAAACCAACGAGAAGACCCACAAGGUUACCACAGUGAAGAAAUCUUCAGUGCGUCUUCCAGGGUCGGAUCAAAGAAGGCAGAAAUUCAGGAAGCAAAAGCCAGUCCUUCCAUAAACCGGCGAACCAGCAUUGAAACGGAUAGAGUGUCUAAGGAGUUCAUAGAAUUUCUCAAGACCUUCCACAAGACAGGCCAAGAAAUCUAUAAACAGACCAAGCUGUUUUUGGAGGGGAUGCAUUACAAAAGGAACCCCAGUGAGCCUGGAAGACUGGGUGCUAUGGGAAAUGUCAUCAAUCCAAUGCUAGUGAAAGAUGUGACUGGGGAAUGCUGAAAAAUGCGCACCCCUGGGAGGAAUGAGGAAAGAUGACAUCCACUGACUCGUUAUUUUUUUGAGAAGGAGUCUUGCUCUGUUGCCCUGGCUGGAGUGUGGUGGCAUGAUCUCGGCUCACUGAUGAUGAGAAGAAAGAUCUUGCCAUUCAAAAGAGGAUCAGAGUGGAAGCUUCUCUGUGGUGUCAGAAAGACGAGGAAUGUGGUGACCUCACCUAUCCAUCUCCCUCAAGGCAGCUUUUGACCUGAACUGGUUAUUUCCUACUUGCCUCCUGGAGUUGCUAAUAAAAU
rnacentral:lncRNA from 1 species